CAGUCGCCACGGGAAUACGAAGGGGGCUAGCGUUGCUCGGAAUCACUGGGCGUAAAGGGUGCGUAGGCGGGUCUUUAAGUCAGGGGUGAAAUCCUGGAGCUCAACUCCAGAACUGCCUUUGAUACUGAAGAUCUUGAGUUCGGGAGAGGUGAGUGGAACUGCGAGUGUAGAGGUGAAAUUCGUAGAUAUUCGGAGGAACACCAGUGGCGAAGGCGGCUCACUGGUCCAUUACUGACGCUGAGGUGCGUAAGCGUGGGGAGCAAACAGGAUUAGAUACCCCUGUAGUCCCUGUCUCUUAUAA
rnacentral:rRNA from 1 species